UCAGGUAUUGGGCACUGCUGGACUCAGGAUACUGGAUUCCAUUGAGCAAUGAUCUGAAUAAACACAGCAGUGCGAAUAGCUCACAAAAUUAGAAUGGUCUUUGAACAGCAACAGUCUUGUGAUCCUCGAAGGAUAAGGCUUCUCCUGCGUGUGACACCAAGAGCAGAGGGCAAAGAGAAGCUGCUGGAAAGUGCAAACGCCUGCAGAAAGAGAGGCUGAUGUUAUUCGGAGGAGGCUUCAUUUAUAACAGCCUGGUACACAUUAUCAAGCAAUCUAGAUGAUGUUUGACAACACGGUUGACCUCCCCCUUCUCCACCCCCACAUGCACUGAAGUGGGGAAACAACAUGGAGCCUUUCACUGGAAGUGCUGUUUACAAAAUACUGUAUUUUCUUUCCAAAAUUCCACAGCAAGAGGCAGUCAGCAGCUUUAGCGCAUGCCAGCAUGAACUGGAGCACUUCCUAGGCUGACUUGCUUUCAGUAGAAUAAACAUAGAGGUUAGACACUUACGCUUAUAUAUAUAUCUAUAUAUCCAUAUCUAUCAUAAAUGUAGUAGUAAAAUAACACAGCUGUGCCUGUCUGAGAGCUGAAGGAAUGUGGAUACUAUGAGUAAUUAAACAGGGUUAAGUAGUAAUAUCUUAGAACUGUUGGUUUCCUGGAUCCUAGGACAGGGCCAAUGUAGCCAGUUGGUCUUCAUUUUGGAAUUUAUUGACUGCUGAACGCUAAUAUGCAGUGUUGUUGUAGCCGUGCUGAUCUAAUAACAGAUAUUACCUCACCCACCUGGUUGAAGUCUAAUAUGGCAGAGAUAAUAAUGCCGUCAUAGCACUGGAGGUUAUUGGAUGCAGCUGUCCUAUAGUGCAGUGUAUGGAAUUGUAUUUCAGUCUUAGAGGCUCCUGGAUGCUGUGCUAUUACAUAGCAGAGGUAACACAGCUCAGUCGUAUUACUGUAGAGCCCUACAUGCUGUGAUGUAAUAGACAGCUCGAGUCGGCUCUCACUUUCACUGGUUUUGCGCAAGUGUAACUCAACUGACCUCAGUGGAGUUGCUCCUCAUUUACACUGUGGUGUACAGGUGCAGAAGCAGGUCCAUAAGGCAGCUGUGUCUCAGUGAAGGGUGCUGAAUGCUCUUCUUUAAAAUAUCCCAGAGAUUCUAUGAUGUAUCAUGUCUCAAUGUCACAGGCAGGUGCUGUAUAGGCCUGGGGCAAUGCUUACAGCGUGGCCUUCCAUUAUCUUCCCUGAAGACUGUACACAGUGAGGGAGGAAAGGGAACCAGUUUCAUAGCUAUCUGGCACACAGUGCCAAGCUCCUCCGUUUGAUCAGCUAUCCCAGUGUACUCACCCCUUGUCUUUAUGUCAAUUUUCGUUAAUUAUUUUUAUAGCAAGGAAAAGGGAAAAAACCCCUCACAAUUACAUAAUAUGCUCAGACUACAAUGAUCAAGAGCAGCAAUAUAGCAUUUUAUUACCGUAGCACAUGCAGCUAUUUGUGUGUUACACACUGAAUCAAGGGACUUGAUUCUCCUCUUGCUAACCCCAAUUUUAUAAGGUGAUGGCAAUGGAGUUACUCCUGAUUUCCACCAGUUUAAGUGGAAGAUGUAUCAGAACCAGGGAUCCUAUCACUAUGUUUGUUAGAAAUCUUGUGCCUUGUUCUCCUCUCACUUAUACAAGUUUAUGCAAGUAUUAGAGAGAGAAGAAACAGGCCACUUUAGUUCAAGAGUCUUCUGUGCCAUAUCACAAUAUAUUGAGUGUCAUUUGGCUUGGAACAUGGGAGGAGUUUCCCCAAAUUCCUUCUUGCUGUGAUAAUGGAAGGGAGUUUGUUACAACAGACUAUCAGCUUUUUAUGGAGGCCUAAAGGUUUGCCAGGGAGCAGAGAAUUUUUGUCACCUGAUGCUGCUUCCCCUAAAAACCUAGUUUCUCUGUGGCUGCUGUGAGAUGUCUGUGAUGCCAUGCUAUGUUCUAGCAUCCUGUUAGUCAUUUGUGGUACAAUUUUCAAAACUGGGUGCCUAAAUGGACACCGCAUUGUCUAAAUCAGGCUGCUGUGCACUCAUUUAGAUACCUCAGGGUACCUAGACACAGUAGCAAAAACAACCCAUGGCAGCAAGUCUCAGAGCCCAGGUCAAGUGACUCAGGCUUGCAGGGCUCACACUGGGGGGCUAAAAAUAGCAAUGUAGAUGUACAGGCAGGCUCAUGCUGGAGCCUGGGCUCUGAGACCCCACCCCACCCAGGUUUCAGAGCUCAGGCUCCAGCCUGAGACCGGCAGACUCGCGUCAUUUGACCCUGGCUCUGAGCGGUGCUGCUGUGGAUCUUUUUUUGCUGUUAGACAUACUGUACACGUCAACAUAGGUGCCUAUCUCUAGGAAACCAGCGUUUGAUAAUUGAACUCCCCGUAAGUGCUCUGCAGUUGACAAUGUCAUUGAUAGCCACAGAAGGAAAAAACAAGUUCCAUUCUCUCUUGUUUUCCCCUGCUUUCAAACACUGAAAAACUGAAACUAGAAAA